rnacentral:rRNA from 1 species
ACGACCGUACCGCAAACCGACACUGGUGCGCGAGAUGAGUAUUCUAAGGCGCUUGAGAGAACUCAGGAGAAGGAACUCGGCAAAUUGACACCGUAACUUCGGAAGAAGGUGUGCCUUUAGUAGGUGAAGGGAUUUACUCCUGGAGCCCAAUGAGGUUGCAAAAAAUCGGUGGCUGCGACUGUUUAUUAAAAACACAGCACUCUGCAAACACGAAAGUGGACGUAUAGGGUGUGACGCCUGCCCGGUGCUGGAAGAUUAAAUGAUGGGGUGCAAGCUCUUGAUUGAAGUCCCAGUAAACGGCGGCCGUAACAAUAACGGUCCUAAGGUAGCGAAAUUCCUUGUCGGGUAAGUUCCGACCUGCACGAAUGGCGUAACGAUGGCCACACUGUCUCCUCCUGAGACUCAGCGAAGUUGAAAUGUUUGUGAUGAUGCAAUCUCCCCGCGGAAAGACGGAAAGACCCCAUGAACCUUUACUGUAGCUUUGUAUUGGACUUUGAACAGAUCUGUGUAGGAUAGGUGGGAGGCUUUGAAGCAGGGUCGCUAGAUCUUGUGGAGCCAACGUUGAAAUACCACCCUGGUGUGUUUGAGGUUCUAACCUAGGCCCGUAAUCCGGGUUGGGGACAGUGCAUGGUAGGCAGUUUGACUGGGGCGGUCUCCUCCCAAAGUGUAACGGAGGAGUUCGAAGGUACGCUAGUUACGGUCGGACAUCGUGACGAUAGUGCAAUGGCAUAAGCGUGCUUAACUGCGAGACUGACAAGUCGAGCAGAUGCGAAAGCAGGACAUAGUGAUCCGGUGGUUCUGUAUGGAAGGGCCAUCGCUCAACGGAUAAAAGGUACUCUGGGGAUAACAGGCUGAUACCGCCCAAGAGUUCAUAUCGACGGCGGUGUUUGGCACCUCGAUGUCGGCUCAUCUCAUCCUGGGGCUGUAGCCGGUCCCAAGGGUAUGGCUGUUCGCCAUUUAAAGAGGUACGUGAGCUGGGUUUAAAACGUCGUGAGACAGUUUGGUCCCUAUCUUCCGUGGGCGCUGCAGAUUUGAGGAAGCCUGCUCCUAGUACGAGAGGACCGGAGUGGACGCACCUCUGGUGUAUCGGUUGUCACGCCAGUGGCAUUGCCGAGUAGCUAUGUGCGGAAGAGAUAACCGCUGAAAGCAUCUAAGCGGGAAACUCGUUUCAAGAUGAGAUCUGCCGGGGCCUUGAGCCCCCUGAAGAGUCGUUCAAGACCAGGACGUUGAUAGGUCGGGUGUGGAAGCGCAGUAAUGCGUUAAGCUAACCGAUACUAAUUGCUCGUGCGGCUUGACCCU